GGUUAUUUAGAAUUAUGAAUGCGUUGGUGUAACGGUGUCGGUUUCCACUCUAUCUUUAAGCUAAUUCUACCCUUUCUCUUUUUUGUGAAUAUUUGCUUUAAUCUUCUUCGUCUUCGUUAUUCUCUAUGGUUUCCGAUUUCAAGAUUUCAUCCAUGAUCUAGAAGAUUCGAUAUGUUUUUGCUGUGAAUUACCAUCUGAUUCCUUUUAUACAACUGUAUUCGGAUUUGUGGAUUGUUGAUUUGCCUCAGGGAGAAAAACUACGUGAUGAACAUAUGAACGGAGUGUUAUUCUUGUUUGCUGGAUUAAAAUUAUGAUUUUCUCUACGUAAGUAUGUGGCGAUUUUUUUUUCUGGAUGAUCGCUGAAUUGAAGAUCUUUUCCGAUCUGGAAGUUUGGUUGAGCUCUUCUAAUUUGUUGAUCUGUUCUGUUACGGUACUGUGUUGUUGAACAUGACCUCUUUGUUUUCACGGAACUGUUUUCCUGAUUGUUCAGGCGAGAUCUCGAUUGUGAACGUUUGCUUUUUGUCGGUGAUUGGAGGAUGAUUCUGCUGCUUCCUAGAUCCGAAGAAACUGACAACUCUCUUUACCCUAGCUUUUUCUGGAACUUCUCCUAUUCUUCAACUAUUGAUCUUAUGUAUAGAGAUCUAGCUACGGUUCUUCUUGUCGAACAUGGCUUUUCUUUUACGGGACUGUUUUCCUGAUUAUUCGGGCGAGAUCUAGAUUGUGAACGCUUGCUUUCUGUUUGUGAUUGGAGGAUGAAUUCUGCUUUUGCCUAGAUCUGAAGAAACCGGGAACACUACCCCUAAAACUUCUAUUCUUCGACUGUUCUUAUCAUUAUUAUUGUAGAGGGAUUUAGCUUCGGUUUUGCUUUGUUUGCAGUGUAUUUGGGAGGUUGGAGAUUUGUAAAUCCGGAGAUAUUGGAAAGAAUUUUCUGCAAUUUUCGACAUGGACGACUAGAUAUCUAAUUCCUUAAAACAGAACAGAUCCUCUACUUUUACCCUUUUUAAAUUCAAUUAUAAAUCAUGCAUAUGAAUUAAAAUGUGAAUCUAUAUUCUAUGCAGCGUUGUCCAUCUUGAAGCGUGGUUGUUUUGAGUGCGACACAUACAGAGGAUAGAGACCAAGAACAGUUUUUCUAAACUUUCUUUCCUUGCAGUUUUUUUCCCCAACCUACUGUGCUAGCAUUGUGAAUUAAAAUGUGGAUGUGUUUCCUAUGCAGUGUUGUCUGAUCCUGGUCGAUAUGUUUCCUGCACUUGCCUGGUUCAUUUGUUUAAGUUUUGUUCUUUUUUUUUAAAAUUUAAAUAAUUGGCUUUAGUUCUUUGUUGUUUCCUUUAUAAUCCUGGCUUUCUUGGAAAUCGGCUUAUGUUUCUCUUUUCUGCCUUAGGAGCCAAUUGAAGGAUAUGGGAUUGCACUUAGGCGAUGUGGCCAAGAUUCUGAAAUUGAUAAUUCCCUCCUAACAUAUGCAUCAAUUUUUUUUAGUAUUAAAUACGGAGUUAUCUUGUUUAUGUCCUGCAAUGCUUUAAAUUGGUUGCAGAAAUCUGGAAUAAUGGAUAGAAGAUAUAUGGCAGGAAGGCUCAAAAUAAUACAGGCUCAUAAUCUGAUUAACUUUUCUUUUUUAACUGUCUUGCGUUAAUGGUCAUGCAAAAUUAAAUUUGAACUUGUUCUCUUGCAGUGCUAUCGUUUUGGUCAAGUAACAUUGUACCUGGAGUUUGGACGCACUGGAUCUCUUGUCUUUUGGUUUUUUUUAUGUUUUUGCUAGUUCAUAUGCAUAAGUAUGCAGAUAUCAAUUGAAUUUCGUCUGUUCAUUUGCAGUGUUGUCUUCCAAUCAUACUUUUGGCAACAGGCAUUCAUGUAUUAUGGUGAAUUCUAACUGGCUUUAGUGUUCUCUGUGUCUAGUGUAUUGUUCCUGUGCAUUUCAUUUCUUUGAUGUUCUUCAUAUUGCUUGGGGAGGAGUGUUCUUUAUAUGUUUUUCCUGUGAAUUUCUAUCUAGUCUCUAUAACUGUUCAUGGAUUUGUGGAUUUUGGAUUUACUUAGCUGCUGAUCGCUUUUUUCUGGAUUCGAUAAUCUUGGGAAUGGUUACAGUUUCACAGGGAAAAGAACCAGGCGAUGAACAUAUGGACAGGGUGCUAUUCUUGUUUGCUGGAUUGGAAUUGUGAUUUUCUCUCUUCAGCUGUAGCGAAUUAUGUGGAUGAUGUGUUGGCUUCGUUUAAGAUCUUUCCUGACCUGGAACUUUGGUUGAGCUUUUCUAAUUUGAUGAACUGGUUCGGGGAUAGUUGUGUUGUUUGAACAUGGCUUUUCUUUCAUGCAGCUGUUCUGUUUAUUGUUAAGGCGACAUUAUCUGGAUUAUGAAUGCUUGCUUUUUUGUUGGGUGUUUGGAGGAUGAAUUCUACUUUUGCCCAGAUCUGAAGAAACUGAACUCUCUGAAUCCUGUUUUUUCUGAAAAUUCUCCGAUUCUGUAUUGUUCUUAUUCCUUGAGAGAUUUAGAUUUGCUUGUUUUUGCUUGGUUUGCAGUGUAUUCGGGAGAUUGGGAAUUGUAGAUUGGAGAUAUUGGAAAGAAUAUUUUGCAAGACCCGAGGACCAUACAUCUAAUUCCAUAAAAGCAAUCUGAUUCUCUAUACAUUUUAUUUCCUUGAUCAUUUAACUAAAUAUUAAAGCAUGCAUUGUGAAUUAAAAUGUAGUUUAUAUUCUAUGCAGCAUGGUCGAACAUGGCUUUUCUUUUGCGGGACUGUUUUCCUGAUUAUUCAGGCGAUCUAGAUUGUGAACGGUUGCUUUUGCAGAGAUCCGAAGAAAUCGAGAACAUAUUCUUGCUUUUUUCCCCCCUAAAACUUCUAUUCUUCAACUGUUCUUAUCGUUAUUAUUGUUGGGGGAUUUAGCUUCGGUUUUGCUUGGUUUGCAGUGUAUUUGGGAGGUUGGAGAUUUGUAGAUUGGAGAUAUUGGAAAGAAUUUUCUGCAAUUUUCGAUAUCACGAUAUGGAUGACUAGAUAUCUAAUUCCGUAAAACAGAACAGAUCCUCUACUUUUACCCCUUUUAGAUUCAAUCAUAAAUAAAUUAUAAAUCAUGCAUGUGAAUUAAAAUGUGAAUCUAUAUUCUAUGCAGCGUUGUCCAUCUUGAAGUGUGGUUGUUGAGUGUGACACAUAUGGAGGAUAGAGAUCAAGAAUAGUUUUCCUAAAGUUUUUCCCUGCAUUUUUUUCCAAACGUACUGUGGCAGCACUGUGAAUUAAAUGUGGAUAUGCUUCCUAUGCAGUGUUGUCUGAUCUUGUUACCGCGGGUGUUGAGUACAUCCUGGUUGAUAUGUUUCUUGCACUUGCGUGGUUCAUUUGUUUAGGUUUUGCUCUUUUUUUUUUAAUUUAUAUUAUUGGCUGCUUUGGUUCUUUGUUGUUUCCUUUAUAAUUCUGUCUCUUGGAAAUCGGUUUAUGUUUCUCUUUUUUGCCUUAGGAGCCAAUUGAAGGAUAUGGGAUUGCACUUAGGCGAUGUGUCCAAGAUUCCGAAAUUGAUAAUUCCCUCCUAACAUAUGCACUACUUUUUUUUAGUAUUAAAUAAUAGUUUGAUUACGGAGUUAUCUUUUUAAUGUCCUGCAAUGCUUUAAAUUGGUUGCAGAAAUCUGGAAUAUUGGAUAGAAGAUAUAUGGCAGGAAGGCUCAAAAUAAUACAGGCUCAUAAUCUGAUUAACUUUUCGUUUUUAACUAUCUUGCGUUAAUGGUCGUGCAAAAUUAAAUUUGAACUUGUUUUCUUGCAGUGUUAUUGUUUUGGUCAAGUAAUAUUGUGUAGCUGGUGACCUUGUACCUGGAGUUUGGAUGCACUGGAUCUGUUGUCUCUUGGUUUUUUGUUUUUUUUUUUGCUAGUUCAUAUGCAUUAGUAUGCAGAUAUCAAUUGAAUUUCGUCUGUUCAUUUUCAGUGUUGUCUUCCAAUCAUACUUUUGGCAACGGCAUUCAUGUAUAAUGGUGACUUCUAACUGGCUUUAGUGUUCUCUGUGUCCUAACAUCUUGUUCCUGUGCAUUUAAUUUCUUUGGUGUUCUUCAUAUUGCUUGGGGAGGAGUGUUCUUUGAUCUGUUUUUCCUGUGAAUUUCUAUCUAGUUUACAGAACUGUUCUUGGAUUUGUGGAUUUUGGAUUUACUUAGCUGCUGAUCAAGAUGCUUCUUUCUGGAUUCGAUAAUUUUGGGAAUGGUUAUAGUUUCAACACAGUUUCACAGGGAAUAGAACCAGGCGAUGAACAUAUGGACAGGGUGCUAUUCUUGUUUGUUGGAUUGGAAUUGUGAUUUUCUCUCUUCGGGUGUAGCGAAUUAUGUGGAUGAUGUGUUGGCUUCAUUUAUGAUCUUUACUGACCUGGAAGUUUGGUUGAGCUUUUCUAAUUUGAUGAUCUGGUUCAGGGAUAGGUUUGAACAUGGCUUUUCUUUCAUGCAGCUGUUCUGUUGACUGUUAAGGCGACAUUAUCUGGAUUAUGAAUGCUUGCUUUUUUGUUGGUGUUUGGAGGAUGAAUUCUACUUUUCCCCAGAUCCGAAGAAACUGAGAACUCUCUGAAUCCUUGUUUUCUCUGAAAAUUCUCUUAUUCUGUACUGUUCUUAUUCCCGGAGAGAUUUAGAUUUGCUUGUUUUUGCUUGGUUUGCAGUGUAUUUGGGAGAUUGGGAAAUGGGAAUUGUAGAUUGGAGAUACUGGAAAGAAUAUUUUGCAAGACCCGAGGACCAUAUAUCUAAUUCCAUAAAAGCAAUCUGAUUCUCUAUACAUUUUAUUUCCCUGAUCAUUUAACUAAAUAGAGCAUGCAUUGUGAAUUAAAAUGUAGUUUAUAUUCUAUGCAGCAUUGUAGCCUGGUUGUUGAGCACGAAGCAUACCGUGGAUGGAAUCUAGUUUCCUAAAACAGUUUUUCGAACUCUUCUUUCCUUUUUGUUCAUUUCAACCUACUGUGCUUAGCAGCAUUUGAAUUAAAUGUUGUUUGUUUCCCGUGCAGUGUGGUCCGAUCAUUGGUGUUGAGUGCAUACUGUGUUGUCUUCCAAUUGAUACCUUCGACUACUAUACUCAUAUGCACAGGGGGCUAUUCUUGUUUGCUGGAUUGGAAUUGUGAUUUUCUCUCUUCGGGUGUAGCGAAUUAUGUGGAUGAUGUGUUGGUUUCAUUUAAGAUCUUUCCUGACCUGGAAGUUCGGUUGAGCUUUUCUAUUUUGAUGAUCUGGUUCAGGGAUAGUUGUGUUGUUUGAACAUGGCUUUUCUUUCAUGCAGCUGUUCUGUUGAUUGUUAAGGCGACAUUAUCUGGAUUAUGAAUGCUCGCUUUUUUGUUGGUGUUUGGAGGAUGAAUUCUACUUUUGCCCAGAUCUGAAGAAACUGAGAACUCUCUGAAUCCUUGCCUUUUUCUGAAAAUUCUAUGCAGCUGUUCUGUUGAUUGUUAAGGCAAUAUUAUCUGGAUUAUGAAUGCUCGCUUUUUGUUGGUGUUUGGAGGAUGAAUUCUACUUUUGCCCAGAUCUGAAGAGACUGAGAACUUACUGAAUCCUUGCUUUUUCUAAAAAUUCUCCUAUUCUGUACUAUUCUUAUUCUCGGAGAGAUUUAGGUUUGCUUGUUUUUGCUUGGUUUGCAGUGUAUUUGGAAGAUUGGGGAUAUUGGAAAGAAUAUUUUGCAAGACCUGAGGACCAUAUAUCUAAUUCCAUAAAAGCAAUCUGAUUCUCUAUACAUUUUAUUUCCUUGAUCAUUUAACUAAAUACUUUAAACCAUGCAUUGUGAAUUAAAAUGUAGUUUAUUUUCUAUGCAGCAUUGUAGCCUGGUUGUUGAGCACGAUGCAUACAGUGGAUGGAAUCUAGUUUCCUAAAACAGUUUUUCGAAACUCCUCUCUCCUUUUUGUUCAUUCCAAGCUACUGUGCUAGCAGCAUUUGAAUUAAAUGUCGUUGGUUUCCCGUGCAGUGUUGUCCGAUCAUGGGUAUUGAGUGCAUCCUGGUGAUAUGCUUUUGCACUUGGCUGGUUCAUUUGUUUAAUUUUUGCUUUUUUAAUACUUUGUGUUGUUUCCUUCGUUAGUCUCUCGUGCUUGGAAAUCGGUUUUUGUUUCUCUUUUCCUUGGGAACCAAUUGAAGGGUAUCUGUUCAAGAUUCCGAGAUUGAUAUUUCCUUGUUAUAUUAUUCUUUUUUCUUUCUAUCCCCUAAAUAUUAUAAAAAUAAUGUGAUUAUGUAGUCGUUUCACUUUUGUGACCUCCAAUGCUUUACAGUGGUUGCAGCGAUUUAGAAUUUUGGAAAAGAAGAUAUGAUUUGGAAAAAAAGCUCUGCAAAAAUAAUACAGGCUCCUGAUCUAGAUUAAACUUGUCUUUUCUACUGAAUUUUUCUUACAUAUUUAUUUUUUAGCAUUAAUGGUUCGUGCAAAGUUCAAUUUGAACCUGUUUUCUUGCAGUGCUACGAUCGUUAACAUUGUUAACAUUGUCCUUUGUAAUCGAGUUAGAUGCGGAGUUGGUGACUUCUACCUGGAGUUUGAAUGCCCUGGAUCUUUUCUCGUCUCUCUUAUUUUCUUUCCAUGUAGUAUGAACAUGUCGAUUCCUGUUCCUUUGCAGUGUUGUCUUCCAACGAUACUUUUGACUACCAUACUAAUUCAUAUGGUGACUUCUACCUCGGUAUAGCAGUUUGUGAUUUGUUCUUCGUGAUUUUGACCGAGUUUUGAGAAUGAUGAUAGGCCCAACCUGUUGUUCCCUCAUCCUAGUUGUUGACACACUUUCGAGAUAGGACAGUAAGCGUUUAUUGAGCACUUAUUGGUCGUUGUUGACCACAUAUGCUGACUGUAUCAUAUAUAAUCAAUUUUGCUUUUUAUCGCUUUU